GCACCACUAGCUCAGUUGGUAGAGCAACUGACUCUUAAUCAGUGGGUCCUGGGUUCGAAUCCCUGGUGGUGCACCA
rnacentral:tRNA from 1 species